GCUUUGCAGAACAGCUUAAUGUUGGCUGCAUCACAAAGGGCUUCUAAAAACAUUCAAAGUGAGUCUAAUAUCAUCCGGUAAAUAUUGACCAGCAAGUGUCCUCAGUGAGCAACGUUUGUAACUAAGUCCUCCACAUUUGGCUUCAACUCAUACGACGACUUCUCAUUGACCAAUAUGGAGAAAAACACAGGAUGGUUUAUGUUGGGGACAAAAGCGGAUGUCACACAGAAUGCUGCUGCUUCCACCACCACCACAACGACUGAAAAUGGGUCCUCCACAUUUAGCUACAACUUACCCGGGGUCUGCUCAUUCUCCGUUCCGAUCAUCAACAAAGAUUGCUCUACGUGUGGGAGAAAAGCGGAGGUCAAACACGAUUUUGUUGGUCCCAUCAUCACCACGGCUGAAAAUGGGUCCUCCAUAUAUCGCUUCAACGCAUACGGCUGCAACUUCUCAUGCACCGUCCCAAUCAAGAAGACACAAAACUUUGGUUUUGGGCAACCAGGGCCAUCCUUCAACCCAAACACCAGCAUCCCACUUCCUAAUUUGUUCAAGCCGAGAGAAUCCUCUGCGUUUGGGCCAAAAGGGGAUGUCACACAGAAUGCUGCUGCUCCCAUCAACUUCAAAGCGACUGAGAACGGGCCAUCCACAUUAGGCUUCAACUCAAACAGCAGCUCCCCAUUCCCUAAUUUUUUCGGUCAGAGAGGACCCUCUGCGUUUGGGCCAAAAGCGGACGUCACACAGAAUGCUGCUGCUCCCACCAACUUCAGAGCGACUGAGAACGGGCCCUCCACAUUAGGCUUCGGCAGCAACCCACUUCCUAAUUUGUUCGGUCGGAGAGAACCCUCUGCGUUUGGGCCAAAAGCGGAUGUCACACAGAAUGCUGCUGCUCCCACCACCUUCACAAUGACUGCAAAUGGGCCAUCCACAUUAGGCUUCGGCAGCAAACCACAUCCUGAUGUGUUCAAGCAGAGAGAACAAGCGUUUGGGCCAAAAGGGCCAUCCACAUUAGGCUUCGGCAGCAACCCAUUCCCUAAUUUGUUCGGUCAGAGAGAUCCCUCUGCGUUUGGGCCAAAAGCGGAUGUCACACAGAAUGCUGCUGCUCCCACCAACUUCAGAGCGACUGAGAACGGGCCAUCCACAUUAGGCUUCAACUCAAACAGCAGGAUGACACUUGGCGAUUUCUUCAGGCAGGGAGAACCCUCUGCGUUUGGGCCAAAAGCGGAUGUCACACAGAAUGCUGCUGCUCCCACCAACUUCACAAUGACUGCAAAUGGGCCAUCCACAUUAGGCUUCAACUCAAACGGCAGCUUCCCACUUCCUGAUUUGUUCAGGCAGAGAGAACCCUCUGCGUUUGGGACAAAAGCGGAUGUCACACAGAAUGCUGCUGCUCCCACCUCCACCACAACGACUGAGAACGGGUUCUCCACAUUUGGCUUCAACCCAAAAAGCAGGCUCUCAUUUGUUGAUUCGAUGAAGGACAAAAAACCCUUUAUUUUUAUUAGAAAAGCGGAUGUCACACAGAAUGCUGCUGCUCCCACCACCACCACAACAACUGAGAAUGCUGACUCUAACUUCUCGUUGACGAACAUGUCUGGUGUUGCUGCAGCGUCUGCUUCCAAUAACAAGGAGGAGGGAUGUGACUCAGAAGAGAACAACGUGGACGUUCAGCCCAUAGUGUCCAUACCUGAGUCUGGGGAGGAUGGCGAGUAG
rnacentral:lncRNA from 1 species